rnacentral:rRNA from 1 species
CAAUAGCGUAUAUUAAAGUUGUUGCGGUUAAAAAGCUCGUAGUUGGAUUUCUGCUGAGAACGACCGGUCCGCCCUUUGGGUGUGUAUCUGGCUCUUUCUUGGCAUCUUCUUGGUGAACGUUGCUGCACUUGACUGUGUGGAGCGCUACCCAGGACUUUUACUUUGAGGAAAUUAGAGUGUUUCAAGCAGGCAUACGCCUUGAAUACAUUAGCAUGGAAUAAUAAGAUAGGACCUCGGUUCUAUUUUGUUGGUUUCUAGAGCUGAGGUAAUGAUUAAUAGGGAUAGUUGGGGGCAUUCGUAUUUAACUGUCAGAGGUGAAAUUCUUGGAUUUACGAAAGACGAACUACUGCGAAAGCAUUUGCCAAGAAUGUUUUCAUUAA